rnacentral:rRNA from 1 species
UACGGAGGGAGCUAGCGUUGUUCGGAAUUACUGGGCGUAAAGCGCGCGUAGGCGGCUUUGUAAGUUAGAGGUGAAAGCCCGGAGCUCAACUCCGGAACUGCCUUUAAAACUGCAUCGCUUGAAUCCAGGAGAGGUGAGUGGAAUUCCGAGUGUAGAGGUGAAAUUCGUAGAUAUUCGGAAGAACACCAGUGGCGAAGGCGGCUCACUGGACACGUAUUGACGCUGAGGUGCGAAAGCGUGGGGAGCAAACAGG